GACGAACGCUGGCGGCGUGCUUAACACAUGCAAGUCGAACGGAAAGGCCCUGCUUUGGUGGGGUGCUCGAGUGGCGAACGGGUGAGUAACACGUGAGUAACCUGCCCUUGACUUUGGGAUAACUUCAGGAAACUGGGGCUCAUACCGGAUAGGAGCUCCUGCUGCAUGGUGGGGGUUGGAAAGUUUCGGCGGUUGGGGAUGGACUCGCGGCUUAUCAGCUUGUUGGUGGGGUAGUGGCUUACCAAGGCUUGGACGGGUAGCCGGGCUGCGAGGGUGACCGGCCACACUGGGACUGGGAUACGGCCCAGACUACUACGGGAGGCAGCAGUGGGGAAGAGUACACAGUGGGCGGAAGCAUGGUGCGGCCACGCCGCGUGCGGGAUGACGGCCUUCGGGUUGUAAUCCGCUGUCGCCUGUGACGAAGCGUGAGUGACGGUAAUGGGUAAAGAAGCACCGGCUAACUACGUG
rnacentral:rRNA from 1 species